rnacentral:rRNA from 1 species
ACGCUGGCGGCAGGCCUAACACAUGCAAGUCGAACGGUAACAGGAAGCAGCUUGCUGCUUUGCUGACGAGUGGCGGACGGGUGAGUAAUGUCUGGGAAACUGCCCGAUGGAGGGGGAUAACUACUGGAAACGGUAGCUAAUACCGCAUAACGUCGCAAGACCAAAGAGGGGGACCUUAGGGCCUCUUGCCAUCGGAUGUGCCCAGAUGGGAUUAGCUAGUAGGUGGGGUAACGGCUCACCUAGGCGACGAUCCCUAGCUGGUCUGAGAGGAUGACCAGCCACACUGGAACUGAGACACGGUCCAGACUCCUACGGGAGGCAGCAGUGGGGAAUAUUGCACAAUGGGCGCAAGCCUGAUGCAGCCAUGCCGCGUGUAUGAAGAAGGCCUUCGGGUUGUAAAGUACUUUCAGCGGGGAGGAAGGGAGUAAAGUUAAUACCUUUGCUCAUUGACGUUACCCGCAGAAGAAGCACCGGCUAACUCCGUGCCAGCAGCCGCGGUAAUACGGAGGGUGCAAGCGUUAAUCGGAAUUACUGGGCGUAAAGCGCACGCAGGCGGUUUGUUAAGUCAGAUGUGAAAUCCCCGGGCUCAACCUGGGAACUGCAUCUGAUACUGGCAAGCUUGAGUCUCGUAGAGGGGGGUAGAAUUCCAGGUGUAGCGGUGAAAUGCGUAGAGAUCUGGAGGAAUACCGGUGGCGAAGGCGGCCCCCUGGACGAAGACUGACGCUCAGGUGCGAAAGCGUGGGGAGCAAACAGGAUUAGAUACCCUGGUAGUCCACGCCGUAAACGAUGUCGACUUGGAGGUUGUGCCCUUGAGGCGUGGCUUCCGGAGCUAACGCGUUAAGUCGACCGCCUGGGGAGUACGGCCGCAAGGUUAAAACUCAAAUGAAUUGACGGGGGCCCGCACAAGCGGUGGAGCAUGUGGUUUAAUUCGAUGCAACGCGAAGAACCUUACCUGGUCUUGACAUCCACGGAAGUUUUCAGAGAUGAGAAUGUGCCUUCGGGAACCGUGAGACAGGUGCUGCAUGGCUGUCGUCAGCUCGUGUUGUGAAAUGUUGGGUUAAGUCCCGCAACGAGCGCAACCCUUAUCCUUUGUUGCCAGCGGUCCGGCCGGGAACUCAAAGGAGACUGCCAGUGAUAAACUGGAGGAAGGUGGGGAUGACGUCAAGUCAUCAUGGCCCUUACGACCAGGGCUACACACGUGCUACAAUGGCGCAUACAAAGAGAAGCGACCUCGCGAGAGCAAGCGGACCUCAUAAAGUGCGUCGUAGUCCGGAUUGGAGUCUGCAACUCGACUCCAUGAAGUCGGAAUCGCUAGUAAUCGUGGAUCAGAAUGCCACGGUGAAUACGUUCCCGGGCCUUGUACACACCGCCCGUCACACCAUGGGAGUGGGUUGCAAAAGAAGUAGGUAGCUUAACCUUCGGGAGGGCGCUUACCACUUUGUGAUUCAUGACUGGGGUGAAGUCGUAACAAGGUAACCGUAGGGGAACCUGCGGUUGGAUCACCUCCUUACCUUAAAGAAGC